rnacentral:rRNA from 1 species
UACGUAGGCAGCGAGCGUUGUUCGGAAUUACUGGGCGUAAAGAGUGUGUAGGCGGUGCUCUAAGUUCGGUGUGAAAUCUCCCGGCUUAACUGGGAGGGUGCGCCGGAAACCGGAGUGCUCGAGCGUGGGAGAGGAAAGCGGAAUUCCUGGUGUAGCGGUGAAAUGCGUAGAUAUCAGGAGGAACACCUGCGGUGUAGACGGCUUUCUGGACCAUUGCUGACGCUGAGACACGAAAGCGUGGGUAGCAAACAGG